CGCAUUUCUUUGCGCGGGAGUGCGACCCGCUACGUCGUUGAUCUGUGCGUUUAUCGAUGAGCGCCGCGAGGAGUUCGGGGUCGUACCGAUCUGCCGGGCACUGGCCGUGCACGGCGUGCAGAUCGCCCCG
rfam:Mycobacterium kansasii strain 1010001458 NODE_109_length_8814_cov_45.2573_ID_5312, whole genome shotgun sequence.